UACAGAGGGUGCGAGCGUUAAUCGGAAUUACUGAGCGUAAAGCGCGCGUAGGCGGUUUUGCAAGUCGGGUGUGAAAUCCCCAGGCUUAACCUGGGAACUGCAUUCGAGACUGCAUUACUAGAGUAUGGGAGAGGGAAGUGGAAUUUCCGGUGUAGCGGUGAAAUGCGUAGAUAUCGGAAGGAACAUCAGUGGCGAAAGCGACUUCCUGGACCAAUACUGACGCUCAUGUGCGAAAGCGUGGGGAGCAAACAGG
rnacentral:rRNA from 1 species